AUUGAACGCUGGCGGAAUGCUUUACACAUGCAAGUCGAACGGCAGCAUGGACUUCGGUCUGGUGGCGAGUGGCGAACGGGUGAGUAAUGUAUCGGAACGUGCCCAGUCGUGGGGGAUAACGUAGUGAAAAUUACGCUAAUACCGCAUACGAUCUAUGGAUGAAAGCGGGGGAUCGCAAGACAUCGCGCGAUUGGAGCGGCCGAUAUCAGAUUAGGUAGUUGGUGGGGUAAAGGCCCACCAAGCCAACGAUCUGUAGCUGGUCUGAGAGGACGACAGGCCACACUGGACAUGAGACACGGUCCAGACUCCUACGGGAGGCAGCAGUGGGGAAUUUUGGACAGUGGGCGAAAGCCUGUUCCAGCCAUUCCGCGUGCAGGAUGAAUGCCCUCGGGUUGUAAACUGCUUUUGUACAGAACGAAAAGGUUUCUACUAAUACUAGGAGCUCAUGACGGUACUGUAAGAAUAAGCACCGGCUAACUGCGUGCCAGCCGCCGCAGUAA
rnacentral:rRNA from 1 species